CUGAAAUGGUAACUGUUCCCUCAGGCUCUGUGUUUGAGACGGUAUUUUUAGGCAGCUUGAAGAUAACACCUGACCUCAACAACGUCACGCACAAACGGCUCCUUUCUCACAGCUCUCAUAAUGGGAUCUGAGUCAUCUAAUGUGACACUGAUUAUUAUUGUUCCUCCUGGACGGUAAAUAGAAACCCCUGGAUCAUCAGAAACAAUGACGACCAAAAAAGGUGCCUGACAAGGGUGAAAGGUCAUGGUCCGUCACGAUGUGCCAGCGUGGUCCUCCUCUGUGAUCUGCAUGCUGUGUGGACCGAGGCUUGGCUCCUCCUGCCUCAGCUGCUUCAGGAAUCCAGAGCCGGGUCCGAUGUCGCGGUGCAGUCGCACGACGCCCUGCGCCAACCGCAGGCCCGGGGGACACGGCGCAGUGCCUUCAUGGAGCCGCAUGUCUGAGAGCACUUUUGUCAUCAGUCUUGUCAAAAUAGUGUCUGUUGUGGUCGAGUGCUCCAGUAAACAGAACCAGCGUGAAAGUCAUCUGAAUCUGAUCAUUAAUUAUUUUAUUGACACCCUUUUACAUGUCUUCUUCAACCUAUUUGCCCUCAAACCAUUUAUAACCUUUAUAUUUUUCACAACACAAACUUAAUUAUUCUUAGUGUUUCUUUAUUUAGAAAUUUGUAUAUAUCCAUUUCUUUGUUCAUGUUUUUUUGUUAAGACAGAUUUACAAACCACAAUUGGUAGAAAUUGUUUGAAAUGAAUAGUGAAAAAAAUAAAUGAUUGCUUAUUAACAAGGAUUUGAUAUCAGCUUGUCUGUAAUUCCUGAACAUGUUUGAAUAAAGGUUGCGGGUCAAACUGUG